rnacentral:lncRNA from 1 species
CUGGGACGCUGCCUUCCGGUGAGCUCCCCGCCCAGUGUUCGUGUUUACGCAUGCGCACUUCCUCCGGCCUGUCCUCGCUUCCGGUGCGUCCUAAGUACCCGCAGCUCUGGUCGCCGGGCUCUGGCCUCCGGUAGGGGAGACUGCGGGGCCGGGACACCGGCAGGGGAAGCACCACGCGGGCGCAAGCUGUGCGGACUAGGGUCCGCGCGGCUGGGCGGAGGCUUGAGUGGAAACCGAGCGCGGGCGCUGAGCCCCGAAGCCGUGGUGGAGGCCGAAGGGGCAGGGCGUGCGGCGGCGGCGGCACCUGGCGCGGCUCGCUGCGGCCUCGGCGAUCUGUCUCUGCUUUCAGACUUCAACAUUUUUCCAAGAGCAGUAGAAAAUGAAAAAAUCCCUGUGACAUCUCCACACUUCCUCUUCUCUCAAGUAUUUGAAGGUCAUGUGGCUGUUUUCGCCUAUUGUACAGCAACUGGAUUGACAGGUACAAGUGGAUAGACCGCACAGGGAGGGAUACACCACUGGAGUAAGCAAAAG